rnacentral:miRNA from 1 species
ACUCGAACUCUUCGAGCAAAGC